rnacentral:rRNA from 1 species
UGACGGUACCCAAAGAAUAAGCACCGGCUAACUUCGUGCCAGCAGCCGCGGUAAUACGUAGGGUGCAAGCGUUACUCGGAAUUACUGGGCGUAAAGCGUGCGCAGGUGGUUGUUUAAGUCUGUUGUGAAAGCCCUGGGCUCAACCUGGGAACUGCAUUGGAGACUGGGCGACUAGAGUGUGGUAGAGGGUAGCGGAAUUCCUGGUGUAGCAGUGAAAUGCGUAGAUAUCAGGAGGAACAUCCAUGGCGAAGGCAACUACCUGGGCCAGCACUGACACUGAGGCACGAAAGCGUGGGGAGCAAACAGGAUUAGAUACCCUGGUAGUCCACGCCCUAAACGAUGCCAACUGGAUGUUGGGUGCAAUUUGGCACGCAAUAUCAAAUCUAACGCGUUA